rnacentral:rRNA from 1 species
UACAGAGGGUGCAAGCGUUGUCCGGAAUCACUGGGCGUAAAGGGCGCGUAGGCGGCCUGAUAAGUCGGGGGUGAAAUUCUGCGGCUUAACCGCAGGACGGCCUUCGAGACUGUCGGGCUUGAGCACGGUAGAGGCUGGUGGAAUUCCCGGUGUAGCGGUGGAAUGCGUAGAGAUCGGGAAGAACAUCGGUGGCGAAGGCGGCCAGCUGGGCCGUUGCUGACGCUGAGGCGCGAAAGCUAGGGGAGCGAAUGGG